AGUGAACGCUGGCGGUAGGCCUAACACAUGCAAGUCGAACGGCAGCACAGUAAGAGCUUGCUCUUACGGGUGGCGAGUGGCGGACGGGUGAGGAAUACAUCGGAAUCUACUUUUUCGUGGGGGAUAACGUAGGGAAACUUACGCUAAUACCGCAUACGACCUACGGGUGAAAGCAGGGGAUCUUCGGACCUUGCGCGAUUGAAUGAGCCGAUGUCAGAUUAGCUAGUUGGCGGGGUAAAGGCCCACCAAGGCGACGAUCCGUAGCUGGUCUGAGAGGAUGAUUAGCCACACUGGAACUGAGACACGGUCCAGACUCCUACGGGAGGAAGCGGUGGGGAAUAUUGGACGAUGGGGGCAAGCCUGAUCCAGCCAUACCGCGUGGAUGAAGAAGGCCUUCGGGUUGUAAAGCCCUUUUGUUGGGAAAGAAAAGCAGCAGGUUAAUACCCCGCUGUUCUGACGGUACCCAAAGAAUAAGCACCGGCUAACUUCGUG
rnacentral:rRNA from 1 species